rnacentral:lncRNA from 10 species
CUCAGGGUUGCUCUGUCUAUGGAGUAGCUAUUCUUUUAUUCCUUUACUUUCCUAGUAAACUUGCUUUCACUUUACUCACCCUGAAUUCUUUCUUGCUCGAAAUCCAAGAACCCCCUCUUGGGGUCUGGAUCGGGGCCCCUUUCCGGUAAUAUCUUUCUUGCGACCACUGAAGAGACUAUAGUGCCGAAACCCCGACCCAAAGGCUAACUUUGGGUGAGUGGUGGGGUCUGGUAAUAUCUUUCUGGUGAACCACAGAAGGGACGAUACUGAAGAACAACCCCCACAUCGCCCCCCUCCCACCCCCGCAACCAUCUGAAGGAAAUAGACUGCAGCACUGAUUGGCUGACUUUGGCUGUGCAUGCUUAUGAGGCCCUAAAAACUGCACACCUUAAAGAGAAACUUAGAAACUGGUUUCUGAUAACUUUGGAAACCGUGAUAUUAGAAUAG